rnacentral:tRNA from 1 species
GGGGAUGUAGCUGAGAUGGUAGGGCGCUCGCUUCGCAUGCGAGAGGCACCGGGAUCGAUACCCGGCAUCUCCA